rnacentral:tRNA from 1 species
AAGGCUUUAGCUUAAUUAAAGUGUCUGUUUUGCAUGCAGAACAUGUGGGUUAAUAUCCUGCAAGUCUUA